rnacentral:rRNA from 1 species
AAAAUUAGAGUGUUCAAAGCAGGCAGAUCCAAUUUUCUGCCACCGAAUACAUUAGCAUGGGAUAAUGGAAUAGGACCCUGUCCUCCUAUUUUCAGUUGGUUUUGGCAGCGCGAGGACUAGGGUAAUGAUUAAUAGGGAUAGUUGGGGGCAUUAAUAUUUAAUUGUCAGAGGUGAAAUUCUUGGAUUUAUGAAAGAUUAACUUCUGCGAAAGCAUCUGCCAAGGAUGUUUUCAUUAAUCAAGAACGAAAGUUAGGGGAUCGAAGACGAUCAGAUACCGUCGUAGUCUUAACCAUAAACGAUGCCGACCAGCGAUUAGGAGACGUUGAAUACAAAACACCACCAUCGGCGCGGUCGUCCUUGGCGUCUCGGUUUCGGCCGGGGCGCGGGACGGCUAGCCCGGG